GACGCGAAGCAUUUUCAACCUCAUUCUUCGCAGUCGCGCCUUUUUUCUCGAGUUCGGCUUCUUUUCGCGAUUUGAAUUUGGAGUUCCCGCGUCUAGUGAACCUGUUUGUGGUGGUUUCUAUUUUAUCUGUGCUGGUUUCCGUCUCCGUGGUCUCUGGAGGUGCGGUGGCUUUUGUGCGGCGAAGGAAAUUGCGCUUUGCAGCCUGUGGACAAAAUAAACGAUCAAAAUGGACGGAGGAUGAAGCAACAACUGGAUACCAGUAGCAACUGGUAGUAUGAAGAUUUAUCAUGGAAGAAGAAUUUUGCUGAAGGAGGAAGCAGAUCCAAAGUCUCUUCUGAUGGAA